GCUAUAUAUAUUCAUGUAUUAUUUGUAUAUAUACACUAUAUAUAUACAUACACAAGAUGCCUUCAUUUUAAUUUUUACAUCUAGUUAUUAUGAUUUUUUGAGACAGGGUCUCAUGUAUUUAAGACUGGCCUUGAACUUGCUAAGUAGCUGAGACUGGCCUUAAACUCUCCUGCCCCCAGCCCGAGUGCAGGAAUGAUGUGCACAUGUGACUACGCCCCCAUUGUUCGAACGCCUUGGGGUGAACGCGGCCUAUGCAUGUUAAGAGAGCACUCAAGAGUCCAGUCCUGGAUACCUUCAUUCUUAGUGGAAGAAUGUACAAAUCAGAGUAGAAUGUUACUUGAAAUUCUAGUAGUUUUUUUGUUUUUAAAAACUUCAACCGGGCGUGGUGGCGCACGCCUUUAAUCCCAGCACUCUGGAGGCAGAGGCAGGCGGAUUUCUGAGUUCGAGGCCAGCCUGGUCUACAGAGUGAGUUCCAGGACAGCCAGGGCUACACAGAGAAACCCUGUCUCGAAAAUCAAAAAAACAAAAAACAAAAAAAAAUAAAACAAAACAAAACAAAAAAACUUCAGAUGGUGUUACUGUGUUUGAUGCAUAUAUUUUAGCUUGUUUGUUUGUUUGUUUGUUUGUUUGUUUUUCUUUUUGAGGCAGGGUCUCUCUACAUAGCCCUGGCUGUCCUGCAACUCUCUGUGUAAACCAGGCUGCCCUCUAACUUGCAGAGAUCCACCUGCCUCUGAUUGCUGGUAUUAAAGGUGUUGCACCACCAUGCCUGGCAUUGUUUGGAAGUAAUCAUAGCCCCCAGUAGUUAAAGAUUUUUUUCUUUUCUUCUUUCAUUCCGUGGACAGCUUAUUGGCCUCCCUUCCCUUCCCCCUCCCCCUAUCUCUUUUGUAUGUGGAAAGAUGUAUUUUUGUACCUUAUUUCAUGCCUUAUCUUCAGGGCUGUGUACAACUCCUCCUUAACCGAAUAACAUGAUAAACAUUUGGACAGCAGCCACUGUGGAUCUAUUAUAGAUAAGGGGCGGGGCAGGCGAUAUGGCUCAAUGAAGAAAGGCACUUGCCACCAAACCUGAGUUUGAUUCCCGGGACCAACAUGGUGAAAAAAGACAGACCACUCCCACAGGUUUCCUUCUAACCUCUACGCAUGGGCUGUGGCUUCCCACCCCUUGGCCCCAAUAAAUACAUAUAUACUUUUUUUUUUUUAAAUGAAAAGAUAGUGUAAGGAUUAUAACUGUCUCAAAGUCAGUAUUAACUCCCUGGUGGUCGUCUCUCAUAUUAGGUACUUGCUUUACCGAGGACAGGACUGGUUGCCUCUGAAGUGUACUGACUGGGCUUAGCUUAGGGUAUUGGGGUUGGUGAUUUUUGAUGGUGGUGUUUUAUUUUGAAUUAUUUUAUGUAUAUGGGUGGUUUUUUUUUUGUUUUUGUUUUUUUUGUUUUUGUCACACUUGUAUGUCUGUGUACCACGUAUUUGCCUGGUGCCUGCAGAGAGGAGAAGAGGGUGUCAGAUCGCCCUGGAAUUAGUGAUAACUGUCAGCUGCCUUGUGGAUGCUGAAAAAGUCAAACCCAGGUUGUUUGGAAGAACAGCCGGUGUGCUCUAACCACUGAGCAGCCUCUCUGGCCCUAUGGUUCGGGGUUUUAGAGAUGGCAUCUCUUGGACUCCUGACUGGUCUCGAACAGGCUAUGUGGUGGAGAAGGACCUUGAACUCCUGAUCUCGAUCCUUCUGGAUGCUAGGAUUAGAGACAGAUGCUAACACAUCUGCUCGGGAUGGAACCCCGGGCCUCCUACAUUUUACAUAAGCGUUCUACCAAAUUAGCCCGGUCCCAGCCUGUAGUCAGUGUUUGUAUAGUGGUCUCUUCCCUUUUCUAGUCAGGAGGCUGUUGGUAUAGCACACAGACACCUUUCACAGACUCACUUCCUGUUGUUGCUAGCAUCCCCCACCCUUUGGGCCCUUUGUUGAGGCUCGACCCUCUUUCUACUGGCAAUAAGUGUGGAAAAGAAUGUCCUCACAGCUGGCCUUUUGACCCAUGAUAGGGUCCUCUAAUUCAUAAAAGUGACCCAGGGACGAGCCUAAGAGGCAGCCUGGGGAUGAGGCUCAGCAGGCCACAGGGGGUUAGGAGCAGAGCUGUGAAUAAGCAACCAGGAAGGCAUGUCUUUCCUAGGGACCUCAUGAGAACCUCUGAGGGAAGGUUGGGAGCAUUGUCCUAUGGCCCUGGCACACUCAAGGGCCCUGUGUGUGAAGAGCUCUGCUUGCUCACGUGGUCCUGUCACUCCGGCCUGCUCACAGAUGGCUCGGAAACAGCGUGACCAGGAAGCCCGAUGUGCUUUGCAAACCCAGGACUCAGUCUCCAGAUAGAUAGGAAGGUGCUGAGUUCAAAGCCAUCCUGGUCUACGUGGCAAGACCCUGUCUCAGCAAACUAACCCAACAUGUUCAAGAGUCAGCACGAGAAUCUUUAACAAAGCUCCUCUGCAUCUUGUGCUUGGUAGGCAGCCUGAAGCACUUCCCUUCUUCACAAGCCCUGUUGCUUUGGUCUGUUCUGAGACAGGGUCUCAAUCUAGCCCAGGCUGGCCUCGAACCUAGAGAUCUGCUCGCCUCUGCCUCCCAAGUACCAGGCUUAAAGUUGUGCACCACCAUGCCCAGAAAGCCAGCAUUGGUGAGCCUGGUGCGCACCUGGAGCUACAAGGAAUUUCCAAGGCGACCCUCUCAGCCUCUUUACCUUCAAGUCCUGGGCUCCUGAGCUCUGCCCCCAGCAUGAAAGCUGCUUUCAAAGCAACCUGUGAUAAUUCUGUAAUGUUUUUGAGUUUGACCAUUUAUGUACUUGGGCUUUGGGCUCCUCACCUGUGAAUUGUAGAUUUCUAUUUUGCGGGUUUUAACCCAAUACCCUUGUCACUGGCUGGCAUCAGCAAGCUUCGGCCUUUUUGCUUCCUUCUGUGUUUUGCUCUUUGGUGGUCCUUCCAUAGCUAGGACAGACACGGAGAACCUGUCUUUCAGUCCUGAUGGCACAAACAGCACAUUGUUGCUGCCACCGGGACAGCUACGGCAGCCAGUGGCAUGCCCGACUCUCCGCCCGAUGUCUCUGCGGAUUUCAAGCUUAUGCUGUUGUGUCAGUUUCCUGUCUGCAUCUGUGAUAAAUCUCUAAAUAUCCUGUAAUUAAAUUAAUUUCUAGUGACAGUGAUCAAUGUGCAGUUAAAUCCCCCAAGAGGUAAUUAUUUCCCUGUUUUUAGCUGCAGAUUAAAAAAAAAAAACACCAAUGACUUCUUCACAGUUGAGUUUCUGUUUUGUGUCUCAGCUUAGGAAAUUUUAAAUAGUAUUUAGUUUGACACAGUAGAAAGAAAGCCAUUCCGUGUGAACAUAGUGGGGUGUGUGCACACACGCACAUGCGCAAACAUUAAUUGGGAAGCUGAUUCUACGAAUAUCUUAUAUAGGGAAAAAAAAGCGUCAGGCUUAGUAUUUUUUUGCAAAGUGAUGGAUACAUUCCUCUUAUUUAUUAAUCACUGGCUUGAUGUUAGAGGUCUUUGUAGAUCGACUUUAAGAAUUGGAUUAAAAUAUUGUGAACAUUGCGGCUUAAUAAAUGUUUACUGUGGUGAUGUUC
rnacentral:lncRNA from 1 species